rnacentral:rRNA from 1 species
UACAGAGGUGGCAAGCGUUGUUCGGAAUUACUGGGCGUAAAGGGCGCGUAGGCGGCCUUCUAAGUCAGACGUGAAAUCCCCCGGCUUAACCUGGGAACUGCGUCUGAUACUGGAUGGCUUGAGUUUGGGAGAGGGACGCGGAAUUCCAGGUGUAGCGGUGAAAUGCGUAGAUAUCUGGAGGAACACCGGUGGCGAAGGCGGCGUCCUGGACCAACACUGACACUGAGGAGCGAAAGCCAGGGGAGCAAACGGG